CGGCGGACGGGUGAGUAACGCGUGGGGGAACCUGCCCUAUACAGGGGGAUAACAGUUAGAAAUGACUGCUAAUACCGCAUAAGCGCACGGAGCCGCAUGGCGCUGAGUGAAAAACGAUAGUGGUAUAGGAGGGACCCGCGUCUGAUUAGGUAGUUGGUGAGGUAACGGCCCACCAAGCCGACGAUCAGUAGCCGACCUGAGAGGGUGACCGGCCACAUUGGGACUGAGACACGGCCCAAACUCCUACGGGAGGCAGCAG
rnacentral:rRNA from 1 species